AGUCGAGCGGAACGACACUAACAAUCCUUCGGGUGCGUUAAUGGGCGUCGAGCGGCGGACGGGUGAGUAAUGCCUAGGAAAUUGCCUUGAUGUGGGGGAUAACCAUUGGAAACGAUGGCUAAUACCGCAUAAUGCCUACGGGCCAAAGAGGGGGACCUUCGGGCCUCUCGCGUCAAGAUAUGCCUAGGUGGGAUUAGCUAGUUGGUGAGGUAAUGGCUCACCAAGGCGACGAUCCCUAGCUGGUCUGAGAGGAUGAUCAGCCACACUGGAACUGAGACACGGUCCAGACUCCUACGGGAGGCAGCAGUGGGGAAUAUUGCACAAUGGGCGAAAGCCUGAUGCAGCCAUGCCGCGUGUAUGAAGAAGGCCUUCGGGUUGUAAAGUACUUUCAGUUGUGAGGAAGGGGGUGGUGUUAAUAGCGGUAUCUCUUGACGUUAGCAACAGAAGAAGCACCGGCUAACUCCGUGCCAGCAGCCGCGGUAAUACGGAGGGUGCGAGCGUUAAUCGGAAUUACUGGGCGUAAAGCGCAUGCAGGUGGUUCAUUAAGUCAGAUGUGAAAGCCCGGGGCUCAACCUCGGAACUGCAUUUGAAACUGGUGAACUAGAGUACUGUAGAGGGGGGUAGAAUUUCAGGUGUAGCGGUGAAAUGCGUAGAGAUCU
rnacentral:rRNA from 1 species